UCGUUUUUAGCUUAAGGGAUAAAGCUUUGAUUUUCUAUGUCAUUUAUAAAGGUUCGAAUCCUUUAAAACGAU
rnacentral:tRNA from 1 species